rnacentral:rRNA from 1 species
AACGAACGCUGGCGGCAGGCCUAACACAUGCAAGUCGAGCGCGCCCUUCGGGGUGAGCGGCGGACGGGUGAGUAACGCGUGGGAACGUGCCCUUUUCUACGGAAUAGCCUCGGGAAACUGAGAGUAAUACCGUAUACGCCCUUUGGGGGAAAGAUUUAUCGGAAAAGGAUCGGCCCGCGUUGGAUUAGGUAGUUGGUGGGGUAACGGCCUACCAAGCCGACGAUCCAUAGCUGGUUUGAGAGGAUGAUCAGCCACACUGGGACUGAGACACGGCCCAGACUCCUACGGGAGGCAGCAGUGGGGAAUCUUAGACAAUGGGGGCAACCCUGAUCUAGCCAUGCCGCGUGAGUGAUGAAGGCCUUAGGGUUGUAAAGCUCUUUCAGCUGGGAAGAUAAUGACGGUACCAUCAGAAGAAGCCCCGGCUAACUCCGUG